rnacentral:lncRNA from 1 species
CUAGGUCUUGCAGCUAGUGAGUCUGAGGCCUGAUUUGAAUGCAGAUUUUCUUGAUUUCAGGACCAGUGCGCUGACAAAUGCUGAAAGAAGAGCAAGUGAGAGGAAAUAUGUCACUAGCAUGGAAAUAGAGGUGGAGGAGGGUUGGUUUGAGUGAAUGAAAAGUCAGAGCUUCAUUGACUGAAGAAAUAAUAAAAUAGAAUACUUAAGAAAUUGCAGACAUAAGGUGGAAGCUGACUCUCCAACAAGUUAUUGAAUUUCUGAAUAUCUCCCUAGAGAUUUUGAAGAGGAAAUUUCUCCUUUAGUGAGAUCAGAGACUUUCUCUUGGUUUGAACUGAGAUCUUCUCAUCGUCACAGCAGAAGAGCUUAUGUGGAAUUCUGAUUCAAAGUUCAUAAGUGAGGCAAAAAUCCAGAUGACUGGUGAUGGCUCAGAAUGCAGUGGAAGACCUUUGCAACUCUGGAGACCAAGUUCUAAGUGCUCCACAGUACCCACUUUUAACACGUUGAUGACCAUUGGAACAAAUUGCUCUCAUCUGCCCCUUCCAUUGGGGUAG